UUCAAACAAUUUUUUGAGAGGAUUCAUAUUCAACAGCAUAGUGGAUUGCUCAAAGGCAAAAAAAAAUUUAAAUUCAUUAGACCGCAUUCAUUCUGUGUCAGAAACCUAUGCUGUGUCAACUAUUUAAUCACAAUCCAAAUUUAGAGCUGAAUCCAGCUUGAAUGUUGUGUCCAUACUUGCCCCAACCGUUCAGGGUUCAACCUCUGCGGU
rnacentral:lncRNA from 1 species